CGCCCUUCCUACGGGAGGCAGCAGUGAGGAAUAUUGGACAAUGGAGGAAACUCUGAUCCAGCCAUGCCGCGUGAGUGAAGAAGGCCUUCGGGUUGUAAAGCUCUUUACCCCUGACGAUAAUGACGUAAGGGGAAAGNC
rnacentral:rRNA from 1 species